rnacentral:rRNA from 1 species
AGUGAACGCUGGCGGUAGGCCUAACACAUGCAAGUCGAACGGCAGCACAGUAAGAGCUUGCUCUUACGGGUGGCGAGUGGCGGACGGGUGAGGAAUACAUCGGAAUCUACUUUUUCGUGGGGGAUAACGUAGGGAAACUUACGCUAAUACCGCAUACGACCUACGGGUGAAAGCAGGGGAUCUUCGGACCUUGCGCGAUUGAAUGAGCCGAUGUCGGAUUAGCUAGUUGGCGGGGUAAAGGCCCACCAAGGCGACGAUCCGUAGCUGGUCUGAGAGGAUGAUCAGCCACACUGGAACUGAGACACGGUCCAGACUCCUACGGGAGGCAGCAGUGGGGAAUAUUGGACAAUGGGCGCAAGCCUGAUCCGGCCAUACCGCGUGGGUGAAGAAGGCCUUCGGGUUGUAAAGCCCUUUUGUUGGGAAAGAAAAGCAGCAGGUUAAUACCCCGCUGUUCUGACGGUACCCAAAGAAUAAGCACCGGCUAACUUCG